CAACCUACCUAGUAGAUUGGGAUAACUCCGGGAAACCGGGGCUAAUACCGAAUAAUCCGUUUCACCACAUGGUGAAACGUUGAAAGGCGGCUUCGGCUGUCACUACUAGAUGGGCCCGCGGCGCAUUAGCUAGUUGGUGGGGUAAUGGCUCACCAAGGCAACGAUGCGUAGCCGACCUGAGAGGGUGAUCGGCCACAUUGGGACUGAGACACGGCCCAAACUCCUACGGGAGGCAGCAGUAGGGAAUCUUCCACAAUGGACGAAAGUCUGAUGGAGCAACGCCGCGUGAGUGAUGAAGGUUUUCGGAUCGUAAAACUCUGUUGUAAGGGAAGAACAAGUACGUUAGUAACUGAACGUACCUUGACGGUACCUUAUUAGAAAGCCACGGCUAACUACGUG
rnacentral:rRNA from 1 species